UACGAAGGGGGCUAGCGUUGCUCGGAGUCACUGGGCGUAAAGGGUGCGUAGGCGGGGCUUUAAGUCAGGGGUGAAAUCCUGGAGCUCAACUCCAGAACUGCCUUUGAUACUGAGGAUCUUGAGUUCGGGAGAGGUGAGUGGAACUGCGAGUGUAGAGGUGAAAUUCGUAGAUAUUCGCAAGAACACCAGUGGCGAAGGCGGCUCACUGGCCCGAUACUGACGCUGAGGUGCGAAAGCGUGGGGAGCAAACAGG
rnacentral:rRNA from 1 species